CCCCUAGAUGUUCUGGGCCGCACGCGCGCUACACUGAACAGUUCAACAAGUCUUAACCUUGGCCGAUAGGUCUGGGUAAUCUUUGAACGCUGUUCGUGAUUGGGAUAGACCUUUGCAAUUAUGGGUCUUCAACGAGGAAUUCCUAGUAAACGCAAGUCAUCAGCUUGUAUUGAUUACGUCCCUGCCCUUUGUACACACCGCCCGUCGCACCUACCGAUUGAAUGGUCCGGUGAAAUCUCGGGACGGCGGCUUGGUCGCUUGCGUCCGACUGCUGAAACUUGAUUAAACCAUAUCAUUUAGAGGAAGGUGAANUCGUAACA
rnacentral:rRNA from 1 species